rnacentral:misc_RNA from 1 species
CAGCAGUGAGUAACCUGGCUACAAGUUGUCCUUGGCCAUGUAUGCCUGUUAUGGCUGCCCUAUGGGCUCAAAAGGUUAGACGGUGGAGUGACUUUCUUGUUUUCUCUGCGUCCCGGACUGUUUUCCACCACAGCAGUGAUGCAGUGGUUCAACUUCUUCGUGUCUGCUUUACAGCUACACUAGGUUUAGGUAGAUCUUCUAUAGAAAGCAACGGUGGGGUCGGUUCACUUCUUGGUCAUGGAUUUGGUUCGCAUUUUUCUGGUGGCAUUUCUGCUGUUGCCCCUGGUAUACUCUACUUGCGUGUUCAUAGAGCUGUCAGAAAUGUCAUGUUUAUGUCAGAAGAGAUAGUCUCCCUUUUGAUGCAUUUUGUCAGAGAUAUUGCGGAUAGUGGAGUUCCUGCUAAGGAUUUGGAGAAACUGAAGAAAACUAGAGGUGAUAUAAGGUCUCUCUCUAGUCAGAAAACAGAUAUUGGAUUCCCUGCAUCUUGUCACGUCUCUCUUGCUGCAGCAAUGGUCCGUGUCAAGCUUGCAGCUUCAUUGGGUGCUUCAUUAGUUUGGAUUACGGGUG